UCAAUCGAGGGGGAGCUUACGUAGUUGUACUCUUUUUACCUAACUAUGGUUUUUCCCAUUGGGUUUUCCUAGAAAGGUUUUUAACGAGGCAACAAAGACGUUGAGCGAGAGCGGAGAGUGACACCGGUUCCCAAGGGGAGUAUUACGAAACUUAAUUUAAUACAAGAUGGAUGAUCAAGGGGGAGUGUUAUAAGAUAAACUUUGAAAUGAUCCUCCACCCCUUUACCAACUUAAGCACUAUGAUCAUCUACUCAUCAAGCACUAUGAUCACCCACUCAUUUACCAAAUCAAGCACCAUCUUUGAUAUUUUAUGCAUUGUUGUUCACUAUAAAUACCAUCACUCAUCUCACUCUUUUGUACACCAUAAACAAG
rnacentral:lncRNA from 1 species